AGAGUUUGAUCCUGGCUCAGAUCGAACGCUGGCGGUGUGGCUAAAACAUGCAAGUCGAGCGCGAAAGUUCCCUUCGGGGAGCAAGUAGAGCGGCGGAAGGGCGAGGAAUACAUGGGCAACGUACCCUGAGCACGGGGACAGUCCGCCGAAAGGCGGAGUAAUACCCGAUGAGACCACAGCGUAUAAUAAUGCAGUGAUCAAAGGGCGGGGUCCCGACUUGUCGGGACCUGUCGGCUUGGGAGCGGCCCAUGUCCUAUCAGCUUGUUGGUGAGGUAACGGCUCACCAAGGCGACGACGGGUACCGGGACUGAGAGGUUGGCCCGGCGCAUUGGGACUGAGACACUGCCCAGACUCCUACGGGAGGCUGCAGUAACGAAUAUUCCGCAAUGGGCGAAAGCCUGACGGAGCGACGCCGCGUGUGGGAAUAAGCCCCUCGGGGUGUAAACCACUGUCAAGGGCCACCAAGCAAUGGGAGCUAAUAUCUCCCGGCGUUGAGGAACCCUGAAGGAAGCCACGGCUAACUUCGUGCCAGCAGCCGCGGUAAGACGAAGGUGGCAAGCGUUGUUCGGAAUCACUGGGCUCAAAGGGCACGUAGGCGGCUCAUCAAGUGUCUUGUGAAAUCCCUCGGCCCAACCGAGGAAUGGCAGGGCAAACUGAUGGACUUAAGGCAGGUAGGGGCGCGUGGAACUCUUGGUGGAGCGGUGGAAUGCGUAGAUAUCAAGAGGAACGCCAGCGGCGAAAGCGGCGCGCUGGGCCUGUUGGGCCGGGCCUUCAUUCGUGGAGACCCGGGCCUUCCUGACGCUGAGGUGCGAAAGCCAGGGGAGCAAACGGGAUUAGAUACCCCGGUAGUCCUGGCUGUAAACGAUGUCCACUAGGUCGAAGGUUCUCUGACGGGCUUUCGGCCGCAAGAAAACCGAUAAGUGGACCGCCUGGGGAGUACGGUCGCAAGGCUAAAACUCAAAGGAAUUGACGGGGGCUCACACAAGCGGUGGAGCAUGUUGCUCAAUUCGAUUCAACGCGAAGAACCUUAUCCUGGGUUUGACAUGUACGGAUGCCUAUCCUGAAAGGGAGUCGGUUGCCCUUCGGGGUGAAACGUACACAGGUGCUGCAUGGCUGUCGUCAGCUCGUGUCGUGAGAUGUUGGGUUAAGUCCCAUAACGAGCGAAACCCUUGUCGCUAGUUGCCAGCGGGUAAUGCCGGGAACUCUAGCGAGACUGCCGGUGUUAAACCGGAGGAAGGUGGGGAUGACGUCAAGUCCUCAUGGCCUUUAUGCCCAGGGCUGCAAACGUGCUACAAUGGCCGAGACAAACCGACGCAAGACCGCGAGGUGGAGCAAAUCGGAAAAAGUCGGCCCCAGUUCGGAUUGGAGUCUGCAACUCGACUCCAUGAAGUUGGAAUCGCUAGUAAUCGCGUAUCAGCGCGACGCGGUGAAUGUGUUCCUGAGCCUUGUACACACCGCCCGUCAAGUCAUGGAAGCCGGUAGCGCCCGAAGUCGGCACAAUUCAGUGCUGCCGAAGGUGAGAUUGGUAACUAGGACUAAGUCGUAACAAGGUA
rnacentral:rRNA from 1 species